rnacentral:rRNA from 1 species
CCUACGGGUGGCAGCAGUGAGGAAUAUUGGUCAAUGGACGAGAGUCUGAACCAGCCAAGUAGCGUGAAGGAUGACUGCCCUAUGGGUUGUAAACUUCUUUUAUAUGGGAAUAAAAUGUUCCACGUGUGGGAUUUUGUAUGUACCAUAUGAAUAAGGAUCGGCUAACUCCGUGCCAGCAGCCGCGGUAAUACGGAGGAUCCGAGCGUUAUCCGGAUUUAUUGGGUUUAAAGGGAGCGUAGGUGGGUUGUUAAGUCAGUUGUGAAAGUUUGCGGCUCAACCGUAAAAUUGCAGUUGAAACUGGCAGUCUGGAGUCAAGUAGAGGUGGGCGGAAUUCGUGGUGUAGCGGUGAAAGGCUUAGAUAUCACGAAGAACUCCGAUUGCGAAGGCAGCUCUCUGGUCUGCAACUGACGCUGAGGCUCGAAAGCAUGGGUAGCGAACAGGAUUAGAUACCCCUGUAGUC